UGGGUAACCUGCCUCAAAGAGGGGAAUAGCCUCCCGAAAGGGAGAUUAAUACCGCAUAAUAUGUAUAGGUCGCAUGACUUUAACAUCAAAGGAUUUCUUUUAGAAAUUCCACUUUGAGAUGGACCCGCGGCGCAUUAGCUAGUUGGUGAGGUAACGGCUCACCAAGGCAACGAUGCGUAGCCGACCUGAGAGGGUGAUCGGCCACACCGGAACUGAGACACGGUCCGGACUCCUACGGGAGNAG
rnacentral:rRNA from 1 species